UGGAGCAGGUCAAGAGCUUUAAGUUCCUCGGGGUCCAUAUCAGUAAGGAACUAUCAUGGUCCAAACACAUCAACACAGUUGUGAAGAGGGCACAACGCCUUUUAACCCUCAGGAGGCUGAAAAGAGUUGGUAUCAGAGUCAGAUCCUCAAUUUGUUCUAUAGCUACACCAUUGAGAGCAUCUUGACUGGCUGCAUCACCAACUGGUAUGGCAACUGCUUGGUAUCCGACCACAAGUCGCUACAGAGGGAGGAUGAUGGUGACGGAUAGAUAUGGAUGAUACGCCAACUGUAGUUGCUUUUCUGUGGUAAACAAGUGCUGGUGUAAUCCAUACCUGGACGGCCGCCAAAUGUGUCUGCAGACACCUGCGCCAGCCCUGAUUUUCCCUCCUCCCCUCUCUCCUCCUGCUCUCUUCAGUCUCUUUGUAUGUCAGUUGUUCUAACUGUGAUUGGAUAUGUUUGUGCAUUUAUAUACGUAUUUGUACAUGUUUGUGUAUGUGCAUGUGUGUGCAUAUGUGGGUAUGUGUGUGUGUGUGUGUGUAUGUGUGCAUUGGCUGGUUAGAAUGAGGCAUGUGACUUCCUUGCAGUGUGUGUGCGUGUGACCUCAAGGUCAACCUGCCUUCGGUGUCAAGCGGGAUUUAAAUGUGAUUGAAUUUGAAUUGAAUGCAGGAGAACUCGAUUACCGGUCUCCACUCCACUGUAUUAAUGGCUUGUUGUGACCUCCCAGUCUGUCUGGGACAAGGCAGGCCUAUUGUUAUGUGUUGGCUUGAAUAAAGAGCACAUUUGUUUUGGGUCCUUA